GAUGAAGAACUAGCGAAAUGCGAUAAGUAAUGUGAAUUGCAGAAUUCAGUGAAUCAUCGAAUCUUUGAACGCACAUUGCGCCCGCCAGUAUUCUGGCGGGCAUGCCUGUUCGAGCGUCAUUUCAACCAUCAAGCCCCCGGCUUGUGUUGGGGACCUGCGGCUGCCGCAGGCCCUGAAAACCAGUGGCGGGCUCGCUAGUCACUCCGAGCGUAGUAAUACAUCUCGCUCAGGGCGUGCUGCGGGUUCCGGCCGUUAAAAAGCCUUAUUUACCCAAGGUUGACCUCGGAUCAGGUAGGAAGACCCGCUGAACUUAAGCAUAUCAAUAAGCGGAGGA
rnacentral:misc_RNA from 1 species